CUUUGGUGCUAUAGGUAGCCUGUCAGUCUUUCAAGCUGAAGGUCCCGAGUUCGAUCCUCAGAAG
rnacentral:tRNA from 1 species